rnacentral:rRNA from 1 species
GCAGUAAGGAAUAUUGGUCAAUGGGCGCAAGCCUGAACCAGCCAUGCCGCGUGCAGGAAGACGGCCCUACGGGUUGUAAACUGCUUUUGUACGGGAAUAAACCUCUUUACGUGUAAAGAGUUGAAUGUACUGUAAGAAUAAGGAUCGGCUAACUCCGUGCCAGCAGCCGCGGUAAUACGGAGGAUCCAAGCGUUAUCCGGAUUUAUUGGGUUUAAAGGGUGCGUAGGCGGCUUAUUAAGUCAGGGGUGAAAGACGGUGGCUCAACCAUCGCAGUGCCUUUGAUACUGAUGAGCUUGAAUGAACUAGAGGUAGGCGGAAUGUGACAAGUAGCGGUGAAAUGCAUAGAUAUGUCACAGAACACCGAUUGCGAAGGCAGCUUACUAUGGUUUUAUUGACGCUGAGGCACGAAAGCGUGGGGAUCAAACAGGAUUAGA